GAAAGGUGUGCUAAUACCAGAUACGUCUAUUUUAAUUCUUUUUUUAUAGAGAAAGGUGGCCUCUUCAUGAAAGCUACUGUGCGGGGAGGAGCUUGCGUACCAUUAGCUAGUUGGUAGGGUAACGGCCUACCAAGGCAACGAUGGUUAGCGGGUCUGAGAGGAUGAUCCGCCACACUGGAACUGGAACACGGACCAGACUCCUACGGGAGGCAGCAGUGAGGAAUAUUGCGCAAUGGGGGCAACCCUGACGCAGCGACGCCGCGUGGAUGAUGAAGGCCUUCGGGUUGUAAAAUCCUGUCAGAUGGGAAGAAAUGCACAUUGGUUAAUAUCUGGUGUGUUUGACGGUACCAUCAAAGGAAGCACCGGCUAACUCCGUGCCAGCAGCCGCGGUAAUACGGAGGGUGCAAGCGUUGUUCGGAAUUACUGGGCGUAAAGCGCGCGUAGGCGGCUAUGUAAGUCAUUUGUGAAAGUCCAUGGCUCAACCAUGGAAGUGCAUGUGAAACUGUAUAGCUUGAGUACUGGAGGGGGU
rnacentral:rRNA from 1 species